UAGGGAAUAUUGCAAAAUGGGCGAAAGCCCGAUGCAGCAACGCCGCGUGGGCGAUGAAGGCCUUCGGGUCGUAAAGCCCUUUUUGAGGGGAUGAGGAAGGACAGUACCCUCAGAAUAAGCCUCGGCUAACUACGUGCCAGCAGCCGCGGUAAAACGUAGGAGGCGAGCGUUAUCCGGAUUUACUGGGCGUAAAGCGCGUGCAGGCGGAUUGGAGAGUUGGAUGUGAAAGCUCCCGGCUUAACUGGGAGAGGUCGUUCAAUACUUCCAGUCUUGAGUGCAGUAGAGGGAAGUAGAAUUCCGGGUGUAGUGGUGAAAUGCGUAGAUAUCCGGAGGAACACCAGUGGCGAAAGCGGCUUCCUGGACUGUAACUGACGCUCAGACGCGAAAGCUAGGGUAGCAAACG
rnacentral:rRNA from 1 species